rnacentral:rRNA from 1 species
AUGAUUUUGCUACACACAGUGGAAUAUCCAGAGUUGGAAGAAAAAAAUGGACUGAAGAAUGUUACAGCAGCAACAACUGAUGAGUGUGUUCUUCCUUUAAAACAGUCCCAGUUUUGUGCCUUUGAAUUUUGGGAAGAGCAGCCUAAAAGUGCAGCUACUACAGAAAGCGAUGCAAGCAACCCAACAGGGGUUGGUGAUCUAUAUAUUGAUGGUUCUUUCACUCUCUGGGCCAAAAUGUUGUUCAUCAAUUCUUUGAUGCAGAAUGAAUACUGGAAACUGGAGCAUCAACCAUUAAUUGGUCCCAAGAAGGAAUUGUUUUCUACUGGUAAAAUGUCUUGGUGCCAUGUCAAUUUUCCAAAAUGCUGUAACCAACUCAGCAAGGAAAAAGAAGGGAUAGUAAUCAGAGGUAUUGUUGAUCUUUGUCUGUCGGGUGCUAGUGCUAUAGUUGAUCACGAGAAUCAGAUGUACAACAAAGAGAAAACUAAAAUUUCACACUGGAAAUUCAAAGGAACACCUCUUGAGUUUGACUUCUAUGAUCAAAGUGAAAUCAAUAUUGAGUUCUUGUUGCUGUCAUAUGCUGCAUCUCAAGUCAAGCGGCUUUUUCCAUGGGAUCCAGGAGAACAUGACCAUUUAGUGAAAAUUACUGCGAUGAUACUAGUUGGAACUGCGGGACAGGUUAUUUCUGAACUUAUCAGCAGCAAAGUGAUCACUCAAAUGGCCCGAUGUAGCACAGAGAAUAAGAUACCAUAG